CCACGGCUCACGGGCCCAGCCGCUCCGCGGCACGUGGGAUCCUCCCGGACCGGGGCACGAACCCUCGUGCCCCGCAUCGGCAGGCGGACUCCCAACCACAGCGCCACCGGGGAAGCCCCGUGCAAGUAGUUUUGCUCCUUCCCUCCUGUCUUAGGACGUUGUCUUAGCUCGGGUUCCCCAGAGGCAGACCCUGAGACGAGGGUUUGAGGGCAAGUGAGGGAACCCCUGUAGGGAAGUGGGAGGUGAAGCAGGAAUAAAAAAGGGCCAAUAAAAGGAGUGUUAGGGAGCAGGUGACCGCCGUGGGCAACCAGUGCUCCAGCCCCCUGGGAGACAGCGAAGAGCACACACCUCCGAGCUCUGCCACCCAAGGGCAAGGGAGCAGGACGUUGAUCUGAUCUACGAACUCCCACCCAGUCAAGCUGUGGGUGCUGAGAAAGCCCUCAGAUGUGCUGAUGCCGGCAGUUGGAAGUUCAACUGGACCAACAUACACCGAAAUGAGAUUAGGACCCAGAUGCAUACAGAAGGACGACCACGUAAAGACACAGAGAGAAGACGGCCGUCUACAAGCCAAGGAGAGAGGCCUCAGAAGACACUAGCCCCACCGACACCGUCAUCUUGGACUGUCAGCCUCCAGGCUGUGAGAAAAUGCCAGUCUUACUGGGUUAGGGGCCCACCCUACUCCAGUGGAUGCAUCUGAACUAAUGACGUCUGCAAUGACCCUAUUUCCACAUAAGGUUGUAUUCUGAGGUAUGGGGGUUGGGUCUUCAACAUAUGAUUUAUUUUGUUUUGUUUUGCCACACUGUGUGGCUUGCAGGAUCUUAGUUCCCUGACCAGAGUUUGAAGCCGGGCCCCGGCACUGAAAGCACCAAGUCCUAACCAUUGGGCUGCCAGGGAGUUCCCAACAUAUGAAUUUUUGAGGACAGAACUCAGCCCAUAACACAAAGCCACGUUGUCAGAAAAGGUGACACACCUUUGUUCUCUGAGACGCUUGCUUUUGGAGCCUUGAGCCACCAUGGGAGAACUCCUGAGACCUCCACGUUGCGGGGAAGCUCGCACCACCUGGAGAGGCCGCAUAGGUCUUCCUGCCCACAGCUCUGGCUGAGGUCCCAGCAGAUGGUCAGCGUCUGCCUUCAGAUGGUUCCAGCCCCCUGGCCUCCAGUUAUUCCAGCUCUCAGCUCUUAGUAGCGAAGCUUCAGACAUGAUGGAGCCUCCUGGUCCCUCUUCUCCUGUUCCACUGGGUCUCCCCUGAAC